rnacentral:rRNA from 1 species
AACGAACGCUGGCGGCGCGCCUAACACAUGCAAGUCGAACGAGAAUCCGGGGCAACCCGGUAGUAAAGUGGCAAACGGGUGAGGAAUACAUGGGUAACCUACCCUUGAGAAGGGAAUAACCCGCCGAAAGGUGAGGCUAAUACCCUAUACGCUAUCUUUUUUUCGAAAGGAUAGGAAAGCCGGGUCGGAGGACCGUGGUACUCAAGGAGGGGCUCAUGUCCUAUCAGCUUGUUGGUGGGGUAACGGCCUACCAAGGCGUACGACCGGGUAGCGUGGUCUGAGAGGAUGAUCAGCCACACUGGCACUGAGAUACGGGCCAGACUCCUACGGGAGGCAGCAGUGAGGAAUAUUGCGCAAUGGGCGAAAGCCUGACGCAGUCCA